GACGAACGCUGGCGGCGUGCUUAACACAUGCAAGUCGAACGGAAAGGCCCUGCUUUUGUGGGGUGCUCGAGUGGCGAACGGGUGAGUAACACGUGAGUAACCUGCCCUUGACUUUGGGAUAACUUCAGGAAACUGGGGCUAAUACCGGAUAGGAUCUCCUGCUGCAUGGUGGGGGUUGGAAAGUUUCGGCGGUUGGGUAUGGACUCGCGGCUUAUCAGCUUGUUGGUGGGGUAGUGGCUUACCAAGGCUUUGACGGGUAGCCGGCCUGAGAGGGUGACCGGCCACAUUGGGACUGAGAUACGGCCCAGACUCCUACGGGAGGCAGCAGUGGGGAAUAUUGCACAAUGGGCGGAAGCCUGAUGCAGAAACGCCGCGUGCGGGAUGACGGCCUUCGGGUUGUAAACCGAUUUCGCAUGUGACGAAGCGUGAGUGACGGUAAUGGGUAAAGAAGCACCGGCUAACUACGUG
rnacentral:rRNA from 1 species